GUUUAUUUCAGCUGCAAUCUGGACCCCAAGAGUUUAUUCAUUCCUGAAUUCAUUAGCACAGCAGCCAACCAAGCACAAAAAAACACAGGUCAAGCACAAGAGUUUAAGGCUUAGUCGUGAGUCUCGACUACCAGGUUGAGCUGUGAUGGAUGAUGAAGUGUUGCUGAGUGGAGCUUUUGUCAAUUUGAAAUUAGGCUCAGAAAAGAUAUAUGUCUGCAUACAUGUAUCUCAGUUAUGUCUUCCGCUGCAAACACUGAUUAUGUUUUAGUCAAGUCUAUAACUAUGUGAAUUACUCUUCAAAGAAAUAUCUAAUGCUUACUCGGGUUCAUCGAGUAUCCUUUUUAA